AGUAGCUGCGCCCUUUCGCAGCCGGCCGGCAACGUCUCCUGCGCCGAUCGGCUUUCGCUCCGGUUAACUUUCGGGUCCCGAAACUUUCGUCUAUGCCUGACGCCCCUCGGCGAGGUUUCCCUUGCUCCGAGUCCAUCUAUAAAAAGAAGAAAAUAGGAAGAUCGGCGAGGCCAGCCAUGGGCCGGCCCGCCAAUCAGGACGCGCGCGGGCGUUUUGAACCCUUAGCGGUACGCUGCGCUCCUCCGGUUGGGAACAGCGCGCAGAGAAGAGCCGCUGCGUGUACCCGGGACCAGGGCCUGCACGCCGCGGCGGACCGGUGACAAGUCAGGUGGAGAAGCUCAAGUCUUGAACUCUGCUUGGUUUCCCAGGUACAGGCUAGACCCCACCCACGAUGAUCACUGAAUCACCAGGUGCUGAGGCCUCUUUCUGUUGUCAAGAGCCAGAGACAACUGAAAGAGCCAGAGACAAUUGAAAGUGAGUUAUCUGUGAGUCACUUUGCAAACAGAAUCAUUGACAGCGGGGACUUCUCUUUGCUGUCUUCCAGUGGCCUAGAAAACUGACAGUUUUGUAUCUUUUAUAAAAGAAAACGGUAUUCUG
rnacentral:lncRNA from 1 species